CAAGAUUAGAAGGCAAUGUCGAAGGAGUUGGUAAGCUAAAUGUAUAAUAUGUUGGGCAGUUUUUUUGAGGAAGCCAAGACAAUCAAACAAUUCGACUUGCCAAAGCUUUGAAGAUUUAUGUUUCUAAAUCUAGAUUAGCUCAUUAUUUGGACCUUGUUAAUUUAUGAGACGUAACUUAUUAUGUAUUGUGGAGUAUGUUUAUAUUUUAAAGCCUUUUUCUUUCAUUUGCCGAAUGUAUGACUAUUGUGUGAGCAGGCUGGCCGCUGGUUAAUGACAUGUUAAUGUGUAG